rnacentral:tRNA from 1 species
AAGGCGCUAGUAGAAUAGUAUUACACUGCCUUGUCAAGGCAGAAUUGUGGGUUUAAACCCCACGUGCCUUG